UACGGAGGGCGCAAGCGUUGUUCGGAAUCACUGGGCGUAAAGCGCGUGUAGGCGACCGGGCAAGUCGGGUGUGAAAUCCCGAGGCUCAACCUCGGAACUGCACUCGAAACUGCUCGGCUCGAGUCCCGGAGAGGGUGGCGGAAUUCCCGGUGUAGGGGUGAAAUCCGUAGAUAUCGGGAGGAACACCAGUGGCGAAGGCGGCCACCUGGACGGUGACUGACGCUGAGACGCGAAAGCGUGGGGAGCAAACAGG
rnacentral:rRNA from 1 species